rnacentral:lncRNA from 1 species
UUCAAAUAGACCAAUAAAAUUGAGGGUUGAGAUUUCCUCUCUUCGUCGAUUUUUACUUCUAGAAUAACGCCUUCUUGCACCUUCUUCUUCACAUUCAUCAGCUUUGAGUCUGUAGCUUGAACAACUUUAACUUUAUCGAUUAAAGUCAGUUCUAAUUGUAUAGUUUCUAUCUUCACGUAGGUUCUUGGAGUCUUUAACUCUAUCUCUAUCUUUUGUAAAUUAUACAAUAUGGGUCUUUGUGUUAACAACGUCACACUCGUAAUCGCAUACGAUCUUCUACUCAACUCGUCA